rnacentral:tRNA from 1 species
CAUUAUGAAGCUAAAAUAGCAUCAGCCUUUUAAGUUGAAGAUUAGGAGUUAAACCUCCUCAUAGUGA